rnacentral:lncRNA from 1 species
UGUUCUUUGCCAGCCUCCAUCAACUUAUCCACCAUCUCUCUCAUUUUCUCAUUUUCUUCAACCAGUUUUUCGUCCAUCUCUCUGUCUCUUACCAAAUCAUGCUUGUCCACCGUCUCCCGCUGGGCAUUCGGCAAAGCAGGUAGGGACACUUCACCCAUCUCAAUAGAGGUUGCUUCCCCAGUAGCAUGUAACUCGUUAGCCUGGUUAUCUAACUUGCAGGAUGGGAUAUGUUCGAGUACACAUGGGUCUUGUAGCACGUCUUCUGCCAUUUUAUUUUUCGUAUCUGCAGUUUGUUGUUCAUUUUCAUUGGUUACCAUCUCGUUUUUUAUGUUCUCAUUACGGUAGGAUUCUGAUAAUUCCCCUAGCGAUUCUGCAGAUUGAUCACAUGCUCGUCUAGCCUGGUGGUUGUCCCACUCAUCUUCCAGCACCUUCUCCACCUCAUCUGUCUGUUGUCUGUCUUCAUCGGUUAACAAUUCGUUUUGGAUGAUCAGGUCAUCAUUAGAGUUUGAUUGCUCCCCUGGCAGUGCUGCAGAUUCAUCAGGUGCUCCUUGCUUCUCAGUAGGGCUUCCGUCACUAUCUAGUUUGACUGCUAAAUUAUGUGAAUUCUCUUCAGCCUCUGAUACCCCUCUCCUCAUCUCAACGUGCUCAAGCUUGUCAGUUUCGGGUUUAUUUGAAUUGCCAUCCUCUCUCAUUGGAAGUUCCAUAUCUGCAGCCUUUUCAUAAGGUGUUGAAAUGGUUAUCUUAUCAAUUGCUUCAGGUGUUUGUCCUGCUUGUGCUCCCACUUGAUCAUCAGAAUCGGGGCUCAAAACAUGAACUUCCAAAGAAUCUCUUACAGGAUGGCCAUCUUCUGAAAAAUAUCGGUGAUGAUGUAAAGUUUCUUCAUUCAUGUCCAUUUGAAGAACUUCAUCUACAUUUUCCUCUGCAUCAUUGACCAGCUUCACAUUCUGUUCCAUCUCAGCUCCUGAUUCAUCCUCAUCUGCUCGCUUUUCCCCCAUUAGCGAAGGCAUAACUUCUUCACCCUCGAUUUGGUUGGAGAAGUAUUGAGAAGACAAUCCGGAG